UGGGGAAUAUUGGACAAUGGGCGCAAGCCUGAUCCAGCCAUGCCGCGUGAGUGAUGAAGGCCCUAGGGUUGUAAAGCUCUUUCACCGGUGAAGAUAAUGACGGUAACCGGAGAAGAAGCCCCGGCUAACUUCGUGCCAGCAGCCGCGGUAAUACGAAGGGGGCUAGCGUUGUUCGGAAUUACUGGGCGUAAAGCGCACGUAGGCGGACAUUUAAGUCAGGGGUGAAAUCCCGGGGCUCAACCCCGGAACUGCCUUUGAUACUGGGUGUCUAGAGUUCGAGAGAGGUGAGUGGAAUUCCGAGUGUAGAGGUGAAAUUCGUAGAUAUUCGGAGGAACACCAGUGGCGAAGGCGGCUCACUGGCUCGAUACUGACGCUGAGGUGCGAAAGCGUGGGGAGCAAAACAGGAUUAGAUACCCUGGUAGUCCACGCCGUAAACGAUGGAAGCCAGCUGUCGGCAAGUUUACUUGUCGGUGGCGCAGCUAACGCAUUAAGCUUCCCGCCUGGGGAGUACGGUCGCAAGAUUAAAACUCAAAGGAAAUUGACGGGGGUCAUAGCUGUUUCCUG
rnacentral:rRNA from 1 species